GCACUAAUGCACCGGAUCC
rnacentral:snRNA from 1 species